GAAGCUUUCCUCGCUCGCAUUGCUUAGUUACAUGUAGUUUGUAAUGAUGAGACUAGGCGGUGAUUCAGCAACAUGUGAUAAAGUUUAACACUCAUGUGGGCUUGACCAAGCCAAAUGGUAGACAAUAAAGCCAGCUGCAGCCAAUUUGGAUUAAUGAGCGUCACCUUGGAGUUUGGUAACUGUCACUUUAAGAUUGCUUACUAUUUUCAGAAGACUGCAGUUAAGAAUCUUUGACAGGAACUUGUCUGAGCCUCUUUUCCUUUGUCGUUACCUUGUUUUUAUCACAGGAAUGGAGUGCUGAUGACUCUUUACUCUGGAACAUAACUGUAGGGGGAGAAACUUUCACGCUGCCUUCUGACAAAAGCAUUUUGUAAUCUGUCUUGCCUAGCUGUAGUGCUGAACGCUUUUUAGUUAACGGAAGCUGUAAAAUCUUUUCACCAGGAAGUAUUAUUUGCUCGGAAUGGGUAAGUGAGAAGUGGUGCUACCUUCUGCAACAGAUAGUCUGUUAUUUUGUGUUUAAAAUUACGUCCAGAUUUUCAGGUUGCUAACUAAUAACUGAAUUGAAAUGGAGAAUAGAAAUGAUUUGUUUAAUCUGUUUUGGUGUAGCAUGUUUAAAAAAAAACGUUGAGAUGUUUCUGUGGUGAUGUUUUAGGGAAGAGGCAUGCAACUGAUUGAAAAGGUAAAUGUUUUCAGGAUUUUUUGUGGGGAGGCAGGAAAUUGUUAAUUAGAAAUUGAAUAGUAUGUUCUCCCUCCAAUGCAGAACUAUUUUGUACCGUCUGUCUAAAUUCAUAAUAAGCUGUCUUUAGAAAUGAAAGAGACUCUAGUUAAACUGCUAGUUUUUCUUUCCACUGACUACUUGCAACAUACUUACUGACAGGAAGACAUCCUGAAAUAUCAGUCUGUCAUGUUCUAAUACAAAAAAGUUAGCACAAAUUGGCACCCCAUUUCAAUAAUAAUUAUUUUAUUUUAUUUUUUAUAAAGUGGAACUUGUUGAAUAUGUUGACACUAAUGCUGCAGAGAAAAGCAAGUACAUAGUACAGGACAUAGCAAACCUGAAAGAGUGUUCAUAAGUUUUGAAUGAAGUUUCCAGUAUAAUAAAAAUGUCAUGAGCUAACAGAAAAAUAUUUUUCUCUGUUAGUCAUACUUCCUUCAAUUAGCUCAUUUUCAGAUUUUUCUUAGAACAUGUUGUGUUGAAACAAAUAGAGGAAACAAUUACCUUUUAGUCAAUAACAUUAGGUUUACUUAAAUUGCGGGGUGGGAGAAUCCAGUAGACUUCUGUGUAGUAAUGUCUCACCUUUAUUUUAAUUAUACUUUUGAAGGAAAUGACUUAAUUGAGGCUGGUCUAGGUAAAGACUGUGUAAAAUGUUCUGUCUCUAGUCUUCAUCGGUUCUUUUCUCUCUCCCCCCCCCCUUGUUUGUAUAGCCAGGGUUAAUUGUUUUAGUGAUGUUUUCAGUACUCCAUUGUUUGAGACACAUGGCAAAAGGUAGAAAGGACCUGCUUUUGUUCUGUAUUUUUCUAACACUUUUCAGAAUAGUUCCUUCUUUUUUCCUACUAAAUGCUCACAGAUAGAGUCCUUUCAGUGAAAAUAUAGAUUGCUGUCUAAAAGGUAAAAAAUAAGCAGGGAAUUCUUAAUAAGAGGAGCAAUAAAAAAAAGGACUUUCAGAUAAGCAUGCAUUUUAACAGCCUUGUUCCCUAGUAAAUCAGGAAGAAUGAGAACCCCACCUUGGCAAUCAUUCUUGUUCUAGUUAAGGUGUGUCCAAUGAACACCUGGAAAAGGCUGCUUGCUAGUCUUAAGCAAACUUGUUUGGAAGGCUUCACAAUGUAUUUGCCACUCAUAAAAGAUAGCAUUAUAAGUGAAAACUUCCUAUGUUGGCAAUCUAAGAAACAGGUAAUUUUAUCCAUUCUCCUUCCACAUUCUUGCACUUAAAGGAAGCAAGACAUGUUGUCACUCAAAAUUACCUUAUCUUGUUUGAUCACUGCACUUUGAAAAGUCUCUCCGUGUGAUGUACCUGUUUUGAAGUAUUAAAAGUGAAGACAGAGUUAAAUGCUCUCCAAAAGUGGCCUUCUCUGAUCCCUAAUUUUUCUCUGAAGCAUUGUAUUUCUGUAGAGAAUUUCAAAUCCCACUUUGACCUCUGAUGUAGUUGACAAUGAGGAAGACUUAAAAUGUGAUUUUAAUUAAUGAACAGCAGUGCUUUCAUAUUCUGCUUGCCAGGAAGACCCUCUGAAAAUCUGGAUGCUGGAGAGAAUGAGUGAAAAGGAACUUAUAAAAGAGCCAUUCUUUUAAAAAUUGACUGGUUGGUGGUUGCUAGAAAAAGUGCCGCUAGAAUUACAGUAAUUGUAGUCAUAAAUAGAUUGCCCAGUUUAUUUGACCCACAUAUGUGUGUUCUGGGAACAGCUGAGAAUCUAUUAUGUGAACAAAGUCAGAUAACAUUAUUUGAGUACCUCUGUGGAAGUUCUGAACUCAAAUGUUGUUUGAACCUGUCCUCAUUCACAAGAGCAAUUAACUCACCCCUCCCUCCCUAAUAAUAAUAUGAAUGUUUCAAGCAAUAUAGAUUCUUCUCUUGCAUCUUUUCACUUCUGGGGAAACCACUGCAAUAUAACUUGAAAGGAUCUCUUUAGAAAAUGAAUAUAGUUGGUGUAUGGUGCUCAUCUUCUACCAAUGUCCUUAUCAUGAGUACCUUCAUUUGGUGCCACUGGGUUGCCAGUUGAUUUUGAAAGAUUCCUUGGAAAUUCAGAUUACCUGAUCUGCAUUUACACCUAUAUGAAUGAAAUAGCAUAACAAUUUUUCAUAAUAUUUGGAUCAGGAUUUUAGAAUAUCACUUCAAAAUAUCACAUUCUUUUUAUAUCUGCUUUACAACACACAAAAUACACUAUACUGUGUAGGACUGUAUAGUAAGACAAAGUUGGUGGCUCAUUUGUAAUCACCAAAGGAUCACAAGAACCAAUUUAGUGUCAAUAAAUUAACAGGGCAGGCCAAAGUGAGUCAUGGCCUUAGCUGUACUAGGAUAGGCGAUGGUUGUCUUAUCAGUAGGCAAAAUCUGUCUUAUAACAAUCAAUAAAUAGAUAUAGAACUCAGAGGUCUACCAGCAAUGUGCCUACUUUUCACUCAUUCCUUAAUGGGCAAUUUUGUAUGCAAUGAAAAAAAUUCAAUGUUUCUGGCUGUCAUCUUCCAUAAUUCCACGUGCUAUUCCAAUUAAUAUACCAUAUCUAUUUUCUGCCCAUAAACGUCCCUCCUCCCAACUGUUGGCCAUGACUACUAUGAGCAAGUUUCCAUUUCUUCCUACUGCAGGAGAAAUGUAGACCCUAUUUAAUGUAGACCUCACCUCUGCACUAUGAUGUACAAAAUUAAUGGAGCACCAAGCACCCUUGGGAAUGCAUUCAUCUAACAUGGUAUGGUGGUAGCAUACAAAGCAGGUGGAGCAAGCUGUUAGAAGUGGCUACAGACUUGCUGAUUCUGUAAGCAAGUCAUGUAUUCCUAAAGUUGUAAAGUUACUGGUUUAGCAAUAUAUUUUUCAUUUUCUGUAAGCUGCCUUAAAGAUUUUAUUUUUAUACAACCUAGUGGUGUAUAAAUUUUUUGAAACAAAGUAUUAUAGAAUGCAUAUUGCGGUAGGGGAAAAUGGCUAAUGGUUUUGCUCUUCUGAGUUGCGUGACAUUUGCAAAUUUUGAAACAAGCCACACAUUAAUCACACAUUUAUCUUCUUCUUAACUACCUGAGCAGACAGGAUCCAUCUUCCUUAAGCUUUCUGGGAUAAUUCUUUGAAAAGUGAUAAAUAUAUAAGUAUUGUGGUUGUAGUAGUUCAGCAAUUGUCCUUCCUGAUUAAAUUCUAAUAGGUAAAGACUUCACAGUAGUUAAGCAUUUCUAAUAUGGUGCUGGUUGUUCCUUUUUAAAGAAUGAGUUAUUCUCAAGUGCUGACAUAGUCCAAGAUCGUUCACUUUCAUCCUGUUGGUUGAUUGAACUGAAAUAAAAAUAGAUGCCAUCAGCUGUAAACUAGGCUACAGUCCUAUUUACACUUAUCUGCCUUGUACCUUAUACAGAAUGGGCCUUACUUCUGAGUAAAUCCAAGCCUAAGAUUAGUCAUAAACAUGCAUCCCUGUAAGUUCUAUCAGAAUACUCUUAUUCUAUUUUGGUUUAAAAGCACAAGGUUUUUAAGGCUUAGUGUUACAAUUUCCCAAGUAAUUCAGAUAAUCUUCAAAUAUGUUAAGGUGGAGUUGUCCAUAUGGCAAGACCCUCAGAUGUACAGUCCUGGCACAGCUGCAGGAACCAUUGUGCCCACAUGCAUUUUUUAGAAGUCGGCCGGCAAAAUAACGUUCCUUUAAGCACUUUCUGCACUGACUUUGUCCUCUCUCUCUCAAAAGCAUUCGCUAAGAUUUAGACCCAACAGCAUGUGCAAGGCUAAAUAUCUUGUGCCCCAAUUAAAUCAAGUUACCGUACGUCAACUAGAUUAAUGUUUCUAUUUGCUUCUUAAAAUUAUUUCAUUUAUGAAUCACUUCCUGUGAAGCAUCUCAUAGUGACCCCCCCCCCAAUUCCCUUAUAGUCUGAAAUGCUUAACCACUUUCCAUUAUGGCAUUGCAUUUCCCCACGAUGAAUGGAAGACCAUAUGCAUUAUCUUGCCUUUUGCUUUUUACAAGUUUAAAGACAGAGGACAGAGGCUAAGUGAUGUGAGGAAAUGCAUCCCUACUACAAGAUUCCCCUUCCCUGCUAUAGUCUGAGUGGUAGCAAGGGCAUUCAUGCCCUCGGCCUUUCCAAAGUUAGGUUAGUGACCUGGCAUGACAGAAGUGAUAAUGCCAAAGUUCCACAUUAAAAGGAGGGGAAUUUUGAGAGAGGCAUUGGUGCUGCUGUUUGUCUGUGGGUGGGUGGAAAAACACCAGGGACUACCUAUGUGCUUUCUGUUGAAGUUAGGAGUGCCCAAGCUCAUUGAUUUUACUGGGCUUGCAUGUUGAUAAUUGUGUAUUGGUUUUGACCAUUAAGUAUCCUAUAUCUUACUUAGGAUGAGUUCACAUGUUACAUAUUUAGGUCCUGAUCCAUAGCUUUGUUGUGCUGCACAAGAUGUCUCUGUGCUGGUACACUUGUAGACCCAGCAAAUAUCAGUUAUGUGUGGAUUCUAGGGAUCACAGAGUUGUGCAGCAGUAAUGCUGCUGUGGCUCGAAUAAUUCAUUUAUAGCUCUUGCAGGAAAUGCAGAUCAUAGCACCUUAUUUUAUCCAGCUAGGAAUUGAGAAGCUCUGGUUCUGUGGUGGCAGAUUUAGCUCUUAGGUAUGCUAGCAGGGGUAAGAUGUAUGGCAGCAUGGAAAAAUCGUUUUACUUAUAUUGGUAUGGUUCUCUCUUUUUAUGUCCAGUAAAAGUAACUAUACUUGUAUGCAAUAACUUUUUGCAUAAGAUGUAUCUCUAUUUAAAGAAUUCAUGAUGCAUCUGUAACAAGUAUCUGCAAAAAGUGUAGUGUGUGCCCCUUAAUUUUAGAUACUGUACAAAGGUAUUAAGUAGCAAUUCUAUUAAAAAUAUUUGGAAUAACUGACUAAACAAAUAAACUAUCCAGUAAAUAUAAUUUAUCAAAACUUACCUGAGCUAGACCUUCCCUAACCCAGAUGCAGUUUGUGCUAUUUUGAUUAGAGAUGUAUUAUAUAUGAGAAAGUUACUCUAAUAGCCCAUAGGAUUCAAUCCUAAAUAUGUUUAUUAAGAAUUAAGACACACUGGACUUAGUGAGAAUUACUUCUGAGUAAGCACACAUUCAGCUGGCAUGCUAGAAUAACUGUAUUGCUAGUAUUCACUGCAAGUGAAAUGGAAUCCAUGCUGAUGAUCCUUUUUAAAUGCCAGUUAUUUGCUAUACUGUAUAUUUUAUAAUCUUUUAUCCAGUGGGAAUUACAACAAUAAUUUAGUGUGUUUCUGGGAUCUUUUAUUGCCAGAUUACAUUUUGUACAGUGACAAUUAUUCUGUAUUCCUAAUGCCAGUCUCAGUAGCCCCAGGCAAGUGCUAGUCACAUAUUAAGUUUGACAAGCAAGUUGUGUUGCUUUUAAUUUCCUCUGGUUUUCGUGUCAUUUUUCCUGAACUGUAAUAAGGACAAAUUCAUCCCAGGAUAUGUAGCUCUUUGAUAUGGGGCUAUCAUACUUUGAAGAUGCCUACUAAAGAAGGGGUAAAGAACAUUCAAUGGGCAUUGGUUGUCACUGUGUUUUUAAAACAAAAACAGUUUAAAGCUGUGUUUCCGCUGGCUUCAAACACAGCCAGGAUCUCAGUUCUAGCAUAGAUGUGUGUAUAGCUCCACUUUAGAACACUGUUUGAGUUUUAAAGAUAUUAUAGUAGUCUGGCUGUUUAUGACAGUCACCAUUGUCUAUCACUUAUAGCUGAGUUUUUCAGAAGCUCUUGCACUGCCU